rnacentral:rRNA from 1 species
UACGUAGGGGGCUAGCGUUGUCCGGAAUCAUUGGGCGUAAAGCGCGCGUAGGUGGUCGUUUUAAGUUGGAUGUGAAAGCCCUCGGCUCAACUGAGGAAGUGCAUCCAAAAACUGAUCGGCUGGAGUAUGAAAGAGGGUCGCGGAAUUCCCGGUGUAGAGGUGAAAUUCGUAGAUAUCGGGAGGAACACCAGUGGCGAAGGCGGCGACCUGGUUCAAUACUGGACGCUGAGGUGCGAAAGCGUGGGGAGCAAACAGG